rnacentral:lncRNA from 1 species
AAUCAGAGCCAGCUAGCUAGCUAGCUAGCUAACGGGCGAUUGUUCAAAACCUGGGGGGCACAUGGGAGUAUGUCAUAAAGUCAUGUCACCUGCCAGCUUGCCAGCUUUCUAAGUAGGGUGAAAGGAUUAAGUAAGAACUGUUCUAGGCCGGGCGCGGUGGCUCAUGCCUGUAAUCCCAGCACAUUGGGAGGCUGAGGCGGACAGAUCACGAGGUCAGAUCAAGACCAUCCUGGCCAACACGGUGAAACCCCUUCUCUA